GAUGAACGCUGGCGGCGUGCCUAAUACAUGCAAGUCGAGCGAACAGAUGAGGAGCUUGCUCCUCUGACGUUAGCGGCGGACGGGUGAGUAACACGUGGAUAACCUACCUAUAAGACUGGGAUAACUUCGGGAAACCGGAGCUAAUACCGGAUAAUAUAUUGAACCGCAUGGUUCAAUAGUGAAAGACGGUUUUGCUGUCACUUAUAGAUGGAUCCGCGCCGCAUUAGCUAGUUGGUAAGGUAACGGCUUACCAAGGCAACGAUGCGUAGCCGACCUGAGAGGGUGAUCGGCCACACUGGAACUGAGACACGGUCCAGACUCCUACGGGAGGCAGCAGUAGGGAAUCUUCCGCAAUGAGCGAAAGCCUGACGGAGCAACGCCGCGUGAGUGAUGAAGGUCUUCGGAUCGUAAAACUCUGUUAUUAGGGAAGAACAAAUGUGGAAGUAACUAUGCACGUCUUGACGGUACCUAAUCAGAAAGCCACGGCUAACUACGUG
rnacentral:rRNA from 1 species